rnacentral:rRNA from 1 species
UGGUGGGUUAUCUUGUCAGGUUUAUUCCGGUAACGAACGAGACCUCAGCCUGCUAAAUAGAGGGAUUUUCUUUCUCUUGGAAGAUCCGUUCUCUUCUUAGAGGGACUCCUGACAACUACUUAAGUCAGCGGAAGCUUGAGGCAAAAACAA